rnacentral:rRNA from 1 species
GUGCCAUCAGCCGCGGUAAUACCGGCAGCCCGAGUGAUGGCCGAUCUUAUGGGGCCUAAAGCGUCCGUAGCUGGCUGCGCAAGUCCGUUGGGAAAUCCACCCGCUUAACGGGUGGGCGUCCAGCGGAAACUGUCCGGCUUGGAGCCGGAAGACCCGAGGGGUACGUCCGGGGUAGGAGUGAAAUCCCGUAAUCCUGGACGGACCGCCGGUGGCGAAAGCGCCUCAGGAGGACGGACUCGACAGUAAGGGACGAAAGCCAGGGUCUCGAACCGGAUUAGAAACCCUGGUAGUC